GCCAGACUCCUACGGGAGGCAGCAGUGGGGAAUAUUGGGCAAUGGGCGCAAGCCUGACCCAGCAACGCCGCGUGAAGGAAGAAGGCUUUCGGGUUGUAAACUUCUUUUCUCAGGGACGAAGAAAGUGACGGUACCUGAGGAAUAAGCCACGGCUAACUACGUGCCAGCAGCCGCGGUAAUACGUAGGUGGCAAGCGUUGUCCGGAUUUACUGGGUGUAAAGGGCGUGUAGCCGGGCCGGCAAGUCAGAUGUGAAAUCCCAAGGCUCAACCGUGGAACUGCAUUUGAAACUGUUGGUCUUGAGUAUCGGAGAGGCAGGCGGAAUUCCUAGUGUAGCGGUGAAAUGCGUAGAUAUUAGGAGGAACACCGGUGGCGAAGGCGGCCUGCUGGACUGCGACUGACGUUGAGGCCCGAAAGCGUGGGGAGCAAGCAGGAUUAGAUACCCCAGUAUCA
rnacentral:rRNA from 1 species